rnacentral:rRNA from 1 species
UACGAAGGGGGCUAGCGUUGUUCGGAAUUACUGGGCGUAAAGGGCGCGUAGGCGGUUUGUCAAGUCAGGCGUGAAAGCCCCGGGCUUAACCUGGGAGGUGCGUUUGAUACUGGCAAGCUAGAGAGUGAGAGAGGAAAGCAGAAUUCCUAGUGUAGAGGUGAAAUUCGUAGAUAUUAGGAAGAAUACCAGAGGCGAAGGCGCUUUCUGGCUCACUACUGACGCUGAGGCGCGAAAGCGUGGGGAGCAAACAGG